GAUAUAUCUCCCUUACCUUGUAUUAUGUGUUUAAUUUGUUUCUUUUGUUUUGUGGGGGUUUUUUUUUAGAGGAAAUUGUCGGGUUUUUUAGGAUUAGUGUUUCGUAAUGAUUUAGUGGAGAUGAGUAUAUGUAGUGAGUUUGUGCGGCUUUUUUCAAGAUUCUCUUUUGAUGCUUCAAUCUGGCUUUUCCCCUUUCUUUUUUAUGUUUAUGUGUGCAUGGUUGCAUCUUGAUGAGUGAUGACAUUGUUAAAAGGCUGAGGUCAUAGCCAUGGAGAAGAUUUGAAAAGAAAAGUUUGCUUGCUAUCCUCGGAAUUUGCUGGCUUGUAUGUGUUCAUAUGCCAUACAAAACAUUGAGGGCCAUGUCCGUUUUGAACUUGGAUCUAGUAGGAUUCCACUAAUUGGUGAUUGUUGCUUUUUGUCUUAAACUUUUUUGCUGUGAGGAUGCUGCGCAGAACCAAAGUUGAUUCUUGCCUAUCCAACAUCAUCUUACCUUGAAAAAUUGUUAUAUUCCAAUUCCAAGACGCCAACUUUUCUCUUGAUAUGAAUGAGAUCUUUAUGAGUAGCUGAUCUUCUUGAUGAUCAAUUAGUUGAUCACCUUAAACGUUUUAGUUUACCUAUUAGAGAUAGAAGAUACAUAAUCUAGAAAACUUCACCGCUGAUCUGUUGAUUGAUUUCAUUGGAAGUGCAAUUGUCACUAAUCGUACUACUUUCUCAAGUUUUCUGUUGAAGAAGUUUCAUAUUUUACACAGAAACUUGUUGUAGACUGCUUAGUAUCUUGUCUAUGUAUGCAGAUGUAGAAUUUAUCUUGAUAGAGGACUGGAAUAGAUGACUGUACACACGUUUCAACUUCAUCUGCAACAUAAAAAAGGAGAGUUUCCAGCUGAGUAAGACAACUAAAGGGAUCUUGUUCAUGUUCAUCUUGUUUGUAUACCAGUCGCUGUUGACAGCGCUGAAUCGUUAUUGUGUUGUGCUGGUGGAGAAACAAGAGUUUUGCAGAUUCCCCAUUAGAUGGAUGGCAGUGCACAACUAAGAGAAUUUUUCACUUUUUUUCUAAUGGCUGGUGAAGUGCUUUGGUGGUAGAGUACCUUGAAAGCAUAUAUACUAGAAUGCAUUAAUGUGAUUCUAUAUUUAUUAGCCAUUUUUCUACAAGCAGAUCGAUGUAGGAUUUCGAUAUGGUGGGUGAAACAUGAUUCUGACGAUGAUUUUGAGUAGAUGGCUCGAAGAUUUCAUUGUGAAAAUGGGAUUUUGAUGAGAAUUAUCAAGAAGACAUGUUGUUUAGAACUGUAAUUCUUCCCACUCUUGGAUUGUUCAGACCAAAGGAAUGCUGUUGUUUUAGGUUUUACAUGAAUCUGGUGUUGUGUAAGCUUCAUUUUAUUGUUCCUAACAGUUUAUGAUUAAACCAUGCUACAAACUGGAUUCUCUCCGUUAGAAUUCAUAAACAGUUUGCAAGUGCAGUUAAAGCAAGUUGCGUUGCUCC